AACGAACGCUGGCGGCAGGCUUAACACACGCAAGUCGAACGCCCCGCAAGGGGAGUGGCAGACGGGUGAGUAACGCGUGGGAAUCUACCUAGUUCUACGGAACAACACAGGGAAACUUGUGCUAAUACCGUAUACGCCCUACGGGGGAAAGAUUUAUCAGAAUUAGAUGAGCCCGCGUAAGAUUAGCUAGUUGGUGAGGUAAUGGCUCACCAAGGCGACGAUCUUUAGCUGGUCUGAGAGGAUGAUCAGCCACACUGGGACUGAGACACGGCCCAGACUCCUACGGGAAGCAGCAGUGGGGAAUAUUGGACAAUGGGCGAAAGCCUGCUCCAGCCAUGCCGCGUGAGUGAUGAAGGCCUUAGGGUUGUAAAGCUCUUUCAGUAGGGAAGAUAAUGACGGUACCUACAGAAGAAGCCCCGGCUAACUUCGUGCCAGCCGCCGCGGUAAUAC
rnacentral:rRNA from 1 species